rnacentral:rRNA from 1 species
AGCUGCUCCUAGUACGAGAGGACCGGAGUGGACGAACCUCUGGUGUUCCGGUUGUUACGCCAGUAGCAUUGCCGGGUAGCUAAGUUCGGACGGGAUAACCGCUGAAAGCAUCUAAGCGGGAAGCCUCCCUCAAGAUAAGUUCUCACAAAUCUUUAAGAUUUCUUAAGGGCCCUCGUAGACUACGAGGUUGAUAGGCGGGAUGUGGAAGCGCUGUAAAGCGUUAAGCUAACCCGUACUAAUUGCCCGUGCGACUUGACCAUAUAACC